rnacentral:rRNA from 1 species
UACGUAUGGGGCAAGCGUUAUCCGGAUUUACUGGGCGUAAAGCGAGCGCAGGUGGUUUAUUAAGUCUGGUGUAAAAGGCAGUGGCUCAACCAUUGUAUGCAUUGGAAACUGGUAGACUUGAGUGCAGGAGAGGAGAGUGGAAUUCCAUGUGUAGCGGUGAAAUGCGUAGAUAUAUGGAGGAACACCGGUGGCGAAAGCGGCUCUCUGGCCUGUAACUGACACUGAGGCUCGAAAGCGUGGGGAGCAAACAGG